UACGAAGGGGGCUAGCGUUGCCUCGGAAUCACUGGGCGUAAAGGGCUCGUAGGCGGUCUGUCACGUCGGGAGUGAAAACUCGGGGCUUAACUCCGAGCCUGCUUCUGAUACGGGCAGACUAGAGGUAUGCAGGGGAGAAUGGAAUUCCUGGUGUAGCGGUGAAAUGCGCAGAUAUCAGGAGGAACACCGGUGGCGAAGGCGGUUCUCUGGGCAUGACCUGACGCUGAGGAGCGAAAGUGUGGGGAGCGAACAGG
rnacentral:rRNA from 1 species